UAACACAAAUAAAAAUUUAAGUAAAAUAUUCAAUUCAAUUUUGUGUUACGAUUUAGAUUCUGCUGCACAUAUUUGUUUACGUAAAAUUCCCCAUGUUGGUCUAAUCAUUAGUAUUCUUUUAAAUACUAUAAUUAUACAUAUUGGAAAGAAUAUAUAGUAAACUUAACAUUUGGAAAGUUAUUCCAUAAGAAUAUCCUCGUUUUUGCUUAUUCGUGACAUUUUGCAGAACAAAACUAAUUAAGAGGAGGUUUACUUAAGGAUAACUAAAGUCAAUCAGUCAUGCUACGAUUAUCGCAAAUCGCAAAUGACUGUCAAAUCGCAAAAAAGCGUUCUCCAGUUUUUUUAUAUCGUUACGAUAUAAAACCGGUUGUGAAUCAGCUAUCGAUUUAAAAAAUGAAUUGCAAAUAGCACAUAAAUAGCACAUAGCGGGAAAAAUUUAUAAACAAAUUUGUUGAUGUUCUAAAUGAAAAUUUAUUUUCGUAUAUUCUAAUAUAUCCAAUAAAUUUAUUAAUAACUUACCAAUAUACUCUUGAAAACAAGUGCGAAUUCCCAUUAAACAGAUGUCGAUCGGCCCAUAUCUAGCCAGUUUUAAAAAUGUCGUCUGUUCUUAAUUCACCCUAAUUCACCACAAAACAAAGAUUUUUAUAAGGAACUUCUUUGCUACCUAAUAUAAUUGAAACCAAUCAAAGCCAGAUCAGUGUAUCAUAAAGCUUAUAUUGGAACUAUUGGUCGGAAAGCCUUUCGGAGAAGAUCAUAUAGCUGACAUAUUGUUAUGGCGAAUAUCGAUUGACCUACUUUUCCGAAUUGGCUUCAGCACACCAGCCAGGAGCCUAAGAGCACAUACUAUGGCAAUAACAUGCCCAUAUUUAGUGAAAAUAUGGUCAACAUAAUGAGCUGCCAGCUGGGAUGCGAUUUGACUUUUGCCAGAGGAAGGGAGCCGUCAGAAGGUUGCUUACUGAUAUUUCUAUUUCAUGUAUGAUUUUGUUAUAUUUUGUUGUUAUUUAAGAUAGAAAUAAGAUAAUUUAGACAGGGA